CCUACGGGGGGCUGCAGUCGAGAAUCUUCGGCAAUGGGCGAAAGCCUGACCGAGCGACGCCGCGUGCGGGAUGAAGGCCUUCGGGUUGUAAACCGCUGUCAGAGGGGAUGAAGUGUCCGUGGGUUCUCCCAUGGAAUUGACAGAUCCUCAGAGGAAGGGUGGGCUAAGUUCGUGCCAGCAGCCGCGGUAAGACGUACCACCCGAACGUUAUUCGGAUUCACUGGGCUUAAAGAGUCCGUAGGCGGCCUAGUAAGUUGGAUGUGAAAUACCUCGGCUCAACCGAGGAACGGCAUCCAAAACUACUGGGCUUGAGAGAUACAGAGGUGAGCGGAACUGAUGGUGGAGCGGUGAAAUGCGUUGAUAUCAUCAGGAACACCGGUGGCGAAAGCGGCUCACUGGGUAUCUUCUGACGCUGAGGGACGAAAGCUAGGGUAGCGAACGGGCUUAGAUACCCCUGUAGUC
rnacentral:rRNA from 1 species